GAUGAAGAACGUAGCGAAAUGCGAUAAGUAGUGUGAAUUGCAGAAUUCAGUGAAUCAUCGAAUCUUUGAACGCACAUUGCGCCCUUUGGUAUUCCAAAGGGCAUGCCUGUUCGAGCGUCAUUUGUACCCUCAAGCUUUGCUUGGUGUUGGGCGUCUUGUCUCUAGCUUUGCUGGAGACUCGCCUUAAAGUAAUUGGCAGCCGGCCUACUGGUUUCGGAGCUCAGCACAAGUCGCACUCUCUAUCAGCAAAGGUCUAGCAUCCAUUAAGCCUUUUUUUCAACUUUUGACCUCGGAUCAGGUAGGGAUACCCGCUGAACUUAAGCAUAUCAAUAAGCGGAGGA
rnacentral:misc_RNA from 1 species